UCAAUCAUUUUUUAUUUGAAAUUUUAAUUAGUUCGGAAUUUGGUUAAAACUAAAAUAAAUUUGAAAACAGAACUAAUAGAAUAUCGGGGAAAUUUUACUUCUACACUUUCUUUGGUACCACAUUUCAAGUAUACCACUAGUAUGGGGUCAUUUUCACAAAUACACUUUUCAUUAAUGACCAAAAGACCAUACUAGCCCUAACUUUAUCUCUCUCUCUCGCGAUCAUCUUCUUUUCCUCUCUCUUUCUCUCGAUCUUUUUUCUUCUUCUCUGCCUCCGAUUCACCGGAGAUCCACCGUCUCUCUCGCGAUCUUUUUUCUUCCUCUCUACCUCCGAUUCACCGGAGAUCCACCAUCUCUCUCUCAUUCCACUGGUUCUCUGCGGUUCACACUGUCGACUCCUACUUCUGUACAAGAUUCCCAACUGUUCCUGAGAAGCUGUGUUCAAGCUUAUAUGAGAGCCACAACCCUGCAAGCACACAUUUGCUUCGAUGUACAAUGAAUAUGUUCCCUUUAGCGAACUAAUCUCCUCUGAUUCCUUGAUUGUGAAACCUCUGUUUCUCAGUUGUUGAUUUUGUUCCAUUUACUUUUUUACUUGCUUUCUCUCUCACAUACAAAGACCAUAGCGUUUCCACAAGUUUCGUGGCAGAAAAUUUUCAGGCACUCUAUAUCAGAUUUACAAGCUGAAAAAGAUAGCGUCCAAGCUUAUCUUGAGAAGCCUAAUGUAAGGCAUCGACCUAACUCGAGGUUUCUCACAGCAACUGUCCUUGGUGUUCAACAAUUUCAGUGUUGGAGAAGUCUCCGGAGGCGGCUUUAGAUGUGGAUCAGACGAUCUUUGUGGUUGUGGCGGAAGACGUGGAGAGGAGCAAAACGACGGUGUUAUGGGCGGCAAGAAACUUCUCCAGCAAGAAGAUUUGCUUGCUUUACGUCCAUCGUCCUGCUCGGCCUGCCUCCUGCAGUGAGAAUCUUUUGCUUCUCUUUCUCUUUGACUUAACUAUUUUGUGGUGAAUUAUAGAAUAUUUAUGGAUGUUGAAUUGUUCUUGAGUGUAGAUUUGCUCAUGAAUCAUGAUUGAAUCUUACCGAGUCUAUAUAUAUAUCCUUUAGUUGAUUGUGGAUGAUGUUAAUGAUGUACCUCUGUUUGCUAAGAAAAUCUGAGAAAUGAUAUAAUUGUUUUAUAAA